CUCUCCCCAGCAGGGGCACGCGGACCGACGUUUGUUCCUCCGUGUGACCUUUCCUUUGUGACUGUCCAUCUGGGAAGCGUAAAUAAUCAUACGCGCGCAUCAGUACCAACAGCGGGGCAUGGACCUGGAGAUGGCUGGCAGGAUGAUCUGGCUUCAUGCAGUCAGCUGAUGUGCCACUGCCAUCUGUUUGUUUGUUUGUUUGAAGUAGGGAAGGAAGUUUUAUCAAGUAACACCCUCCCUCUCCCCAGCUAGGAAACACCCAGGAUUCUAACAGGGAGUCCUGGGUAGGGACAGGGGAACAGGCAGAGAAGAGGAGAUGAAGACAACCAGAAGAGGCUGGGGUGAGACAGGGCAGUGAGGAAGAAGAAAACAAAACAACAAAAAAAAGAGGCUCUGCUGCUAGCUGAUAUUAUGACCUUGGGAGAAUCCUUUCAUCCCCCUGAACUUGGCAAAAAUGAAGAAACUAUAUAGCAUAUUGCUUAAGCGGUGGGCUCUAAGGCCAAACCCUGGAUUCUUCUCUACUCUACUACUUCCCAGCUGUGUGAGCCUGGGCAAUUACCUUAUGCUCUCUGAGCUAGUUUCCUCACCAUUUAAAUGGGCAUGUUAGAGUUGUCAUGAGAUUUAGACAAAAUAAGGAAAGCACUUAGUAAAGGACUUGGCACAUAUUAAAUGUUUAAUAUAUUAGCUAUUGUUCUUAUCUGUCUCCAGGGUAGGCUAAUGGAAUGCACACAGACAAUAUUUUUAUCUUGAUCUCAUAUAUAUAACAGCUCAUAUAUUUUUUUGUUUAUAUCAUGCAUGCUCAAGUUCUUUAAUAUAUAAUGGCUUUUCAUGAGAAUCCUAAUAUCUUGCCUUAUUUGUUUUAAGGUUAUUGUGGGCAAAUGUUUUAGAGGAAAGGGAGAUGAACCAGAUAGUGAUACACUAUCGUUUCCUACACAAAUAAAAUAGUUUAUUGUAGAUGUUAGGAUUUAGCACUUAUUACAUAUUUUGAAGACUGUUAAUUUCCUUCUCCAUCUUUCCACUUUUAUUCUAGAUUUCUUCUUGGCACAGCCUAGUUGUUGCUGUAUUAAUAACCCAGAAAUCUCAUUGGCUUAACAUAACACAAGUUUACUUUUCAUACACAUGAUAUGUCCUGUGUGAAUUGGCAGAGGCUUGCUGCACAUUGGUCUCUCAGAAACUCAAGAUGGAGGCUCCAUAUUCAUGUGCCUCCAUGUUCACCACUGCUGGGGGAAGAGAAUGUCUCAUAUUAUGCACUGGUCCUUAAGGUUCCACUAAAGUAACACAAGGGCAGUUCUCUGAAGCUGAACUGCUUCAUUAAGUGCCGAGUCUUCCUUUUCUAGAUGUGAUUUUUCUUAGUUAUCUACUCACCUUUUUCUUGAGUUGGGUUUCGGAGAAAGUAUGGUAAAAAUAAUAAGCCAAUGGUGAUUUUUUCCCCCCAGCAUUAAAUUAGGGCCCUUUUUACUCUCACAAGGGAUUUUGGUACCAGUGAGAGGAGGACGUAUUUUAUUUUCUCAAAGUUUCUCCCUCUUCACUCAUUUUCAAUGUACUGUUUUCCUAAAUUCCUGGUUUUCUGAAAUCCUCAAGGAAAGAAACAUGAAAGAUUCACACUCUGUCAUCAUCACCUACUACAAAAACUUGGUUGGCAUGUGGUUAUCUCCCACAUUCAACCCAAACUACCCCUGUGUGGUAGCCUAGGCAAGUGAGAUGCUUUCAGGGGUCUGACCCACCUCUUCAUUUCAUGCACCUAGUCAGAAUGGCUGUGGAAUGGGUAUGACAGGAGAAAUGGACAUCGGUAAAGCAGAUGGGUCAUUCACUCAGCAAACAUUAAUUGAGCACCUAGUAUAUGCUGAGCACUGGGCCAGUUCUUCUAAGUCACCAUAGUGAUUCAGUUGGACUCUGAUCUUAGCUAGGGAAGAAAGCAAGUAUGGGUUUUCCCAGAGAGCAGUCUGAUGCAGUGUGACCCUAUGACUUCUCCACCUUUGUAACAUACACUGUCUGCUCAGGAAGAUUUAUCUACUGGUGGAUUCUGGAAGGAUCCCAAACUCACCAUGCUCACUGUUGCUAGCCAAGCUUCCGUUACUUCCCUCCCUCCACCAAGACUCAACGUCAAUCCAGAUCCUACCCAUCUUUGGAAGUCAGCUGAAGACUUAUGCCUUUUCUCAGCUCCGUAGGCUUCCAAAAUUCAUCCAGCUCCUAUCUUCAGAAACCUUAUUGGACACACCAUCUCUGCAACUUGUUUGGACAACUAUCUAAUAUGUUUUAUUACUUAAACAUUUUAUUUUGGGGGGCUAGUAUCUUUAUAUCAGGUUUCUUUAAGCUUUAAGAAAAGGAUCUUGUUUCUUCUUGAAUUGAUGGAUAAAAAAUGACUAUCCCAUAGAAGGUAUUCAAUGGCUAAAUUCCGCUCAAUGUCUAGUCUUUCAGUAAUAGAUGUUUGAUAAGUACACAUCAAAUAGAAGUAAACUUGACAUUGCUCUUUUUUCUUUUUCAAGGAAGAUGGAAAGAGAAGCUAUGACUGCCCUUAUUCCUAUGGCUUUGCCUCCUUGCUUUCUAGCUUGGGCACAUGAGAAUUUUCAAGGUAGUUUAGGUGGUUGUAAAGCAAGAUCAAUACAAGUCAGAGGAUGCUAACCACUAUUGUGUCUAAACACUGACAUCUGGGAUGCCAGGUCUUCGGUUCUUUCAUUUGUCAUCAUCUUUUUCAGGCACUUUGGUGGGCAAAGAUCAUGGUUCACUUUUUUUAACCACUAAGAUGUGGAGAGAAUAAGAUGGAUGCAAAAGAUGAAUUCAAGCAAAGUUUAUUAUAAAAUUAUAUGAGGAAUUUGAUGUCUUUACUAAAACCUAUUACAAAAUGUGUGUAGUUUUCGCAAGGGAAAAAAGUCUUUAAUUGCGUCAAAAAACUGUAGAAACAAGGGGGUUGAAGUGACAUGCAUGAAGGGAGUCUUCUUGGUCUUGACCAAUUAAUUUUGCAGCCCGUUCUUAGUUCCUGUUUCUGAGUGGCCCCUCCUCAGCCUCCCAUGCAUGAGGAUUUACUGGUGCCCUGAUUCCAUAACUUAACUUUCUUCCUCUCGUUUUCUUUUGGGCACUAAUAUCUAAUGGAGUUAGGCUGCAAUAACACAGUUUGUCCCUGUCUAACAUGCAGUGUUAUGUCUGAGCGUUUUGACUGAGCAGAAUAAAUUAGUGUCUUGUUUUAUUAGUAGUACAAGUUCAGAAGAGUAGGUUUAUUUAAAGUGAGAGAUAAGCUGCAUAGUAAAGGAAAAGACUGAAUGAAAAUGUCACUUGUUGAAAGAAGUUGCUUAGUUUUCUGCCACUCUCCCACUGGGCCAAGCUUCCUCCUUACCGGGAUCUAUGUGCAGGCAGUUUUCAAUAUCCUAAGCAAGAAAAUGGAUCAUAUUUUCAACUCCAUUAUAUGCCUUCUUCCUCAUUUCUGAUCUUAAGGGCAGUGUAGAAAAUUAUCGUUCUUCAUUAUUUGAGGGGGGUGGUUGUGAUCUUUUCUUCUUGGAAGUCCCCAUCUCCGGCUCAGCAAUUCCUCCAACUUUCCUGCUCUUAUGCUCCCCCUCCCCCCACUCAGUUCAUUUGACCCCACUCGGAGGCCUUAGAGAGGCUUCCAGUGGCUCUGCAAAGGAGGCCUGAGGGUCUCACCUUCUGUUCUGAAGGCUAAGGCUUCUUCUCUUAUUCUGCACAAUUCCCUCCACUCUGAGUCUGAUUUCCCUCAAGACAUACCUAGUCUCAGUGUUCCAGCCACUGUUUUCUUCUUCCCACACUUCUAGAAAUUUCCCAUUGUUUUAUGAGGCCUUUCCCAACUGCUUGGGAACAGAGUGGCUCUCUCUCCUGGAAAGUCAUCAAGUGGCUUCCCUGCCACUCAUUACUUCUUACCUAAUAAGAAUGAUAAUAGUAGAGAUAAUAGCAAUUGCUAACACUUAUAUAGCACUUAUGUGCCCUUCACAGCCCUAAGCAUUUUACAUAAGCUAACUGAUUAAAUUUGGCCACAAUCUUUUGAGGUGGUUUGAUGGUUACUUUUUUUUUUUUAAAUUUUAUUUACUCACUUGACAGAGAGAGAGAGAGCGAGAGAGAGAGCGAGCACACAAGGAGGCAGAAUGGCAGGCAGAGGGAGAAGCACACUCCCCGCUGAGCAAGGAGCCUGAUGUGUGGCUCCAUCCUAGGAUCCUGGGAUCAUGACCUGAGCCGAAGGCAGAUGCUUAACCUACUGAGCCACCCAGGUGCUCCUGAUGGUUAAUUUUAUGUGUCAACUUGGCUAGGUGAGGGUCCCCAGAUAGGUAGUCAAACAUCACUCUGGAUGUUUUUGUGAGGGUGUUUUUCAUGAAAUUAACAUUUAAAUCCAUGGACUUUGAAUAAAAACCCAUAAUUGGGUGGGCCUCAUCCAAUCAGUUGAAGGCCUGAAUAGACCAAAAGUCAGGCCUCCCCUGAGCAAGAGAGAAUUUUGCCAGCAGAUAGUCUUCAGACAUGAACUGCAACAUCGCUCUUCCCUGAGUCUCCAGCCUGCUGGCCCACUCUGCAGAUUUUGGACUUGUCAGCCUCCAUAACUGUAUGAGUCAAUUCCUUAAAAUCUCUUUCUAUAUAUAGAAAUAGGAUUUAUACAUGUCUUAUUAGUUCUAUUUCUCUGGUGAACCCUGACUGAUACCAGUGUGUAUUUUCAUGAUUAUUCUAUUUUACAGAUGUGACAACUGGGGCACAGAGAAGUUAGGUAACUUGCCCAAGGUCAUCAGUACUAGUAAGUGGUACAGUUGAGAUUCUAUCUGACUCCUGGGUGUAUACUUUUCACCAUGAGAUUAAAUAUAUGCCAUUUAUAUUGUAUUCAGAGUUGUUUAUCAGUCUCUUUUAUAUAUGUUUUAUUUUUAUUUUUUCUGGAUUAUUUAUGUUUUCCUUUUGUCAGUUUUGAGUAAGCUGAAUCUGCCCAUCUGAUGAAUGUGACAUGUAGAGAACCAGCCUAGACUUUUGGAAGAGUUUAGGGCAGUUGCAUGAAUGGUGCUCGCUGUAAAGGCAGUUAGUGAUUCAGAUUGUCUGCUUCUUGACCAUUUUCCUUUCUUUCUGAUCAUUAUCUCAAAACUAAGAUCCCGUAAUUUCACUACUGGACAAAAUUUUAGGCAGUGUUUUAGAAUUGUAUUUUGGUUUCCCUAAGCAAAUAUUUCAGAAUAAAAGAUAGUCAACAUUUUAGGAGAGUUGGGUCUUUAGAGGUUUAAGUGUAUAUGAUACACUUUCUGUAAAUUGUAAAGCAUAAACACUAAUAGGGGUUAAAACCAUCCUUGCUAUUUUGAAGCAAACAGAAUCCCUCCAGGAAAUAGAACUGGGCCACCGAGUCUGAGGAGACCCCAAGCUGUGGAAACAGUGUCCCCCCCUUGGCCCUUUGAUGGAGUCUCAUUUCCUCCGGGUGAAAGUGUGGGAGCCGGUUUCCUACUGUAACAUUCACGCUUGCUCUUCCUUAUGCAUCGUCUCAAUGGAAUUGUAUUUAAAGAUCCACGUCUUCUCCAUCCCAUUUACGCGGUGGGCCAACUGAGAAGUGUCUGAGGCCACAUGAGGAGUCUGCUCUGCAACCCACCCACAUUCUGUGUUGCUGCCUCUCGCUCUUGUCUCCUGGUGCAAAGAUGCUGAUAUAAAUACAGUUCUGUAUUUAUACAUAGCCAAGAGAAAGAGUUUAGGGAAGAUGGACAGAAGAAUCUGAGUCACUUCUAAUGCUGAGAUUGGCCCUUGGAAAUUUCCUCCCCAGCCUCAGCACUGCCCUUUUCUAGAUGAUGCCAGCAGGCUGGGUCUGAGGACCCAGAGAGGAUCUCACAGGACCAGCCAAGAGGGUCUUUGGCUUCCUGAAGGAUGGAAAUCAAAGGACCGGUCUCCAGUAAAGAGGUGAUACUUGGGGCAUUCCAGUGAAGGAAGGCCCAGCUUCAGGCCUGGACUGGCCUGGGAAAUGCCAACCUGGCAGUUCUGAGUCAAAGAAAACCCUGCCCACCGCUGACCACAGCUCCACCACAGGACCUGAGCUCUCCGGAGUGGAGCACGAAAUCAGCAUUUCUCUUCACCCUGCCUGGGCUGGAGAUCAGCUCCCAAGGUGAAGUGGGAACCUCUGGACAACAGGAUCCAGAGCCUGGCUCCACGGGAUGAGAUGUCAGCUCCUGCUUCCAAGGAACCAAAGAGCAGUCACUCAUCGAAGCCACGUUGGAACAUCUCUGGGCCAGACUCUGCCCGAACUGGCAGAUGGGGAAGCUGACAUCCAGGGAGGUUGACUUUGUCCGAGCAGGAACGUGGAAUUGACUCAGAUUUUCUAGCAGUCAGCCCCUCCGCCUCCCGAGAUCUGUCUUCCUCGAUUUUCACUUCAUCGUUCUGCAUGAACUUUCUACCAUUCUCACAGACCAAACCAAAAUCUCCACAGAAAUCCCUGUAAGUCUGCUAAGAUUAAGAAUAACCACAGACAUUUAAUGGAUUUGGCCACAGAAAGUACCUACUUCUUCCUAAGAGACUUUCCACAUCUUGACUAUGAGUCUCUGUUUUAUCCUGAAGUGAUGGGGAAGCGUCCCAGAUUCAGACUCCAAGAAGGAACACAGACGUUUUAGCAGGGUCUCAGCCAUUUUCAAGCCCAGAGCGUGAGGCCAAGAGGCGAGGGGGUGUUCGGCAAAUGUGAGCCACGAACGGGCCAGAGCUGUUUGGUGGGAUUUGUAACUAAAAAGAGACUUCAGACCAUCUGACUAAAUGCUAAUGGAUUGGUCUGAGACAGGUUUUAAAAAGACACGAUUUUAUCUACUCCUUACAGAGUUUACAGGUUCUGAUGACUGGCCCUUUCUUUUUGCUGGGCCUGUGUUACCAGGCCAAAUAACCUCGCUGCGUUGGUUACUGGUUUCAAGUUACUUGCAGAUGGCUGGAGGCAGAUGAAAGCCGCCCAGAGGUGCUCCUCCUUCUCUCCUCUAGUCCCCAGACCGUGGUGCCAUGUGCUGACGCUCGGAUACUUGUUUUACAGUAUCAUUUGACAAGUGGGAUUUAUGUGUCAAAAUUUCCGCGAAAGCCAAGAAAGUGUCAGAGAAAGCAAAGAGAGGCAGCAUGAGAAAACGGGGAGUAGGCGGGUUAUAGGGUGUCAAAUCCUAACCGUACCAAGCACACAGGGGGAUUAACCUGGCUGCCCAAAGCCACAGAUUUCUUGGGUGUGUUUUUGUUCACUGCGGUUCCUGUCUUUAUCAUCAAGGAAACAACAUCGUAAAAUUGAGACCUUUUCCCUGAAUGCAUUAAUAAAGAUAACUUCUUGGUCCAGCUCCAAAACCACUGGAGCCACAUUUAAUUGACUGCGUUUAUUGUUUGGGGAUCUCGUAUACUGAGGUGCUCAGGGCCACAGUAACAACUGUGGAAGCCAUGACAGUAGGUGCAAGAGGAGACGUUCCUGGUCUUUCUUGGAAUCUUCCAAAUGCCCCAGGUACAAAAUCUUCCCAAGUUCUUACAUUCCAUUGAGCUUUCCCCAGGUUUUCACCUUGUGGCUAUUUUAAAGGAGGAAACACAUAUAAACGCACAAAUAAUUCCUUAAACCUUACCCCAGACUCUUAGAGCUUCCUGUCAAGUCCGACGCAAGAUAACUUACCCUGUUCUUAACCCUUCUUUUGAGAAAACGCGAGGGAGAAAAGGCAAGAGAUUUUGAAUGUCUCAGUUCCCCACAAGCCCCGUGUGUUGCUCGCCAUAUUAAGAGCAUGUGUGCAUUACUUCAUAAACUAUCAGAUGACAUGCAUCUUUAUUUAGACUCAAUAAAGAAAAAUAAUGAGUUAUGCAAAGUUAUUUCAGACACAGGGCAAAAUAGCUUUGCAAAAAGGCACUAUUCACGGGGGCCAGCCCAGCCUGGCUCAGGGACCAUCAUCUAUUAGCUCCAAAUAAAUUCAGGAAAGAGGUACAGCUGUGGACACCUUGUCAUGUGCCAAGUGUAAUAAGUAGGUUAUGAACAAGUCACGAUAAAACAUAAUAACAAUUGCCUUUAUUCUCUCCAUUCCAUCCCUCUCUGUGGAUUAAAAGCCUCCAAGGUCAGAAUCAACUACCUAGGGGCAUGUUAGGAAGUCUGAAUGUACGUCUUCCCUAAAUUUAUGAACGACAGAACAUCGCAGUGGCCGUCAGCCUGGGGUUUGAAAACAUCUAAACUGAAAAUACUGAAAUUUAGCCAAAGAAUAUAGACUCUCCUUCCCCUCAAAUAUGGGGAUUUUGUUCAAUGGCAGUGUAGAUGGAGCCUAGAUCCAAGUCAAGACAGGCUCAGAUGAACACUUAGUUUUAUUUAAGAAGAAGGGACAAAUAUUUUGAUUUUAGGGGAUGUCAUCCCUCUGUGUUUUCUCUCAACCUUCCUAUGUGAAAUGCAGAGUGUGUUUUCUGCCAGGAUCCGGGGGCCUCACAGUGCCUAUUUUUCUGAUGUGCGGAGAGCUACGUAAUUUCCCGCAGUGGAAAUGGUGUUUGGGGAGGAAUUUCAUGUGUGCAGUUGCUACUUAGUUAAAAAAGAA